UCGACGAUCGAAGAACUGAGUGUGACUUUUGUAUACAGUGUUCGUUUUGGGCCUAUAAGUACUUUUUGAAAAUUUAGCCAUCCUUUUGGAUUGAAAUCACCCUUUAGCUCGCAUUGUAUAAGGGAUUUCGGCCGUUUGUAGAAGAACAAGCACUUGCUUAUUUGGAAUGCUUGAUUGUCGGCAAUCGAAGAACUGCAUGUGACUUUUG
rnacentral:lncRNA from 1 species